UGCAGUCGAGCGGACAGAUGGGAGCUUGCUCCCUGAUGUUAGAGGGGGACGGGUGAGUAACACGUGGGUAACCUGCCUGUAAGACUGGGAUAACUCCGGGAAACCGGGGCUAAUACCGGAUGGUUGUUUGAACCGCAUGGGUCAAACAUAAAAGGUGGCUUCGGCUACCACUUACAGAUGGACCCGCGGCGCAUUAGCUAGUUGGUGAGGUAACGGCUCACCAAGGCAACGAUGCGUAGCCGACCUGAGAGGGUGAUCGGCCACACUGGGACUGAAACACGGCCCAAACUCCUACGGGAGGCAGCAGGAGGAAAUCUUCCGCAAUGGACGAAAGUCUGACGGACCAACCCCGCGGGAGUGAUGAAGGUUUUCGGAUCGAAAAGCUCUGUUGUUAGGAAAAAACAAGUACCGUUCGAAUAGGGCGGUACCUUGACGGUACCUAACCAGAAAGCCACGGCUAACUACGUGCCACCAGCCGCGGUAAUACAUAGGUGGCAAGCGUUGUCCGGAAUUAUUGGGCGUAAAGGGCUCUGCAGGCGGUUUCUUAAGUCUGAUGUGAAAGCCCCCGGCUCCACCGGGGAGGGUCAUUGGAAACUGGGGAACUU
rnacentral:rRNA from 1 species